GAUCAUGGCUCAGGACGAACGCUGGCGGCGUGCUUAACACAUGCAAGUCGAACGAGAAUCUGUGGAUCGAGGAUUCGUCCAAGUGAAGCAGAGGACAGUGGCGGACGGGUGAGUAACGCGUGAGGAACCUGCCUUUCAGAGGGGGGGCAACAGUUGGAAACGACUGCUAAUACCGCAUGAUACAUUUGGGUGGCAUCAUCUGAAUGUCAAAGAUUUAUCGCUGAAAGA
rnacentral:rRNA from 1 species